UACAGAGGGGGCAAGCGUUGUUCGGAAUUACUGGGCGUAAAGGGCGCGUAGGCGGCCUGUUAAGUCGAACGUGAAAUCCCCGGGCUCAACCCGGGAACUGCGUCCGAUACUGGCAGGCUUGAAUCCGGGAGAGGGAUGCAGAAUUCCAGGUGUAGCGGUGAAAUGCGUAGAUAUCUGGAGGAAUACCGGUGGCGAAGGCGGCAUCCUGGACCGACAUUGACGCUGAGGAGCGAAAGCCAGGGGAGCAAACGGG
rnacentral:rRNA from 1 species